rnacentral:rRNA from 1 species
AAAGGAAUAGACGGGGGCCCGCACAAGCAGUGGAGUAUGUGGUUUAAUUCGAAGCAACGCGAAGAACCUUACCAGGUCUUGACAUCCAACUAACGAAGUAGAGAUACAUUAGGUGCCCUUCGGGGAAAGUUGAGACAGGUGGUGCAUGGUUGUCGUCAGCUCGUGUCGUGAGAUGUUGGCUUAAGUGCCGCAACGAGCGCAACCCCUGCCGAUAGUUGCUACGCAAGAGCACUCUAUCGGGACCGCUACCGACAAGGUGGAGGAAGGUGGGGAUGACGUCAAAUCAUCAUGCCCUUUAUGACCUGGGCUACACACGUACUACAAUGGCCGUUAACAGAGGGAUGCAAAGCCGCGAGGCCGAGCCAACCCCUAAAAACGGUCCCAGUUCAGAUUGCAGGCUGCAACUCGCCUGUAUGAAGUCGGAAUUGCUAGUAAUCGCGGAUCAGCAUGCCGCGGUGAAUACGUUCCCGGGCCUUGUACACACCGCCCGU